rnacentral:rRNA from 1 species
CCUACGGGUGGCAGCAGUGAGGAAUAUUGGUCAAUGGACGAGAGUCUGAACCAGCCAAGUAGCGUGAGGGAUGAAGGCACAGUGGGUUGUAAACUUCUUUUAUAAAGGAAUAAAACGCGGCACGUGUGCCUUUUUGCGUGUACUUUAUGAAUAAGCAUCGGCUAACUCCGUGCCAGCAGCCGCGGUAAUACGGAGGGUCCGAGCGUUAUCCGGAUUUAUUGGGUUUAAAGGGAGCGUAGAGGGGUUGUUAAGUCAGUUGUGAAAGUUCGCGGCUCAACCCUAAAAUUGCCAUUGAUACUGGCAGUCUUGAGUACAGUUGAGGUAGGCGGAAUUCGUGGUGUAGCGGU